rnacentral:rRNA from 1 species
GACGAACGCUGGCGGCGUGCUUAACACAUGCAAGUCGAACGGAAAGGCCCUGCUUUUGUGGGGUGCUCGAGUGGCGAACGGGGGAGUAACACGUGAGUAACCUGCCCUUGACUUUGGGAUAACUUCAGGAAACUGGGGCUAAUACCGGAUAGGAGCUCCUGCUGCAUGGUGGGGGUUGGAAAGUUUCGGCGGUUGGGGAUGGUCUCGCGGCUUAUCAGCUUGUUGGUGGGGUAGUGGCUUACCAAGGCUUUGACGGGUAGCCGGCCUGAGAGGGUGACCGGCCACAUGGGGACUGCGAUACGCCCCAGACUCCUACGGGAGGCAGCAGUGGGGAAUAUUGCACAAUGGGCGGAAGCCUGAUGCAGCAACGCCGCGUGCGUGAUGACGGCCUUCGGGUUGUAAACCGCUUUCGCCUGUGACGAAGCGUGAGUGACGGUAAUGGGUAAAGAAGCACCGGCUAACUACGUG